rnacentral:lncRNA from 1 species
CUUACUUGCCUGCUGGAAGUCAAAGGGAAGUGAUUUGCUUCAAGUGUGAACAGAGGAUGCUAAACUUCCUUCAUAUGGAAGAAUGAUGUGAACUGGGAAUAUCACAAUGAAAUGAAUAAUAUCAUCCAUGAUUUUCCAGCCAGCUCUGAGACCACUGUUGCUCGAGGGCGUAUCAGAAGCAAGGUGGGGAAGCUGAGUGGAAGGAGGCAGAUGAACUGACAGAAGAACUAAUAUACUAAAGUUUGUUCUCUUUUGGUGCUGUUUGCUUGGCA